rnacentral:RNase_P_RNA from 1 species
UGAGUAGGCCGGAUGGUCGCGGACGAAGUGCUGAAAAGACUCGUACGAGGAAAGUCCGGGCUCCGCAGGGCAAAGGUGCCGGAUAACACCCGGUGAAGGUGACUUUAAGGAAAGUGCAACAGAAAUAAACCGCCAUAUUAGUAUGGUGAGGAUGGAAAGGUGAGGUAAGAGCUCACCGGCCCCACGGCGACGGAGGGCGCUAUGUAAACCCCACCUGGAGCAACACCGUGACAAGAAACAUUAAGGCUGCCCGCCUGUUUCUUAGAGGUGGCUAAAGCCUUGUAGCAAUACCAGGCGUAGAUAGAUGAUCGUUCAAGACAGAACCCGGCUUAUAGGCCUGCUCAUUUU